CUCUCUCUCUGUCUGUCUCUCUCUCUCUCUGUCUCUCUCUCUGUCGCUCUCUCUGUGUCUCUCUCUCUCUCUCUUUCUCAGCUCUAAAGGCUGAGGAAACUGAGAUCACAACAAGCACAAGUCUGUUACCUGUUUUGGCAUGAGCAUGAACUAUGACUCAAGUCUCAUUCUACAAACAACUUCACUCAGCCCUUUAUUUUACUUCCUGGAGACUCAGUUUCUUCAUUAUGAAAGAGGAGCAAGGUUCUACUGUAUCUUCUGGAAGAAGUUGCCUGAACUUUUAUUAUUUUCUUCAAUCAAAACAAGUGAGACAAAGACCCUCCUGCUUCCCCCUUCUCUGCCACCCCUACCUUUUAUACCCACAUUAUAAAUUAUAUAUAUAAUUUAUUUUUUGGUGUAAUUUUGAUAUGAUAUGAGGGUUUUAAUUCUACCCUCCUAUGGUAGUACUAGGGAUGAAUUAAUGGACAAAAAUCUACUUUCCUUAAUCUGUGGACAUAUCAUUUGUCUGACAGCCUGUGGAGUUGCUAUGGAAAUUUUAUUGAAAUGUAAUUCUUGACUCAAUGACAUUUAUCAUUCUCCUCUCUUUGCUUAAUGGAAGCAUUCCACAUUUUAGCAUAGUGAUACAUCUGCAUGUGAACCUUGUGUUGGACACUAAAGGACCUUUUAAUUUCAAAACAUUUGUGUUUUCAUUUGCAAUUUUCAGUAUCUCUGACCAUUUCCUCUCCUUUUUUCUCUUUUACUUUCUAUUCUUUCAUUCCAGUAUGAACUGAGCAGCUACAUGGUCCCCAGUUUCUGAGGUAUGCAGACAGGCAUUCUUGAACUAUCCAGUGUAUGUCAUACAAGCAAACCUAAUCAAUAGCCCUGUAAUAUGUAGUCAUUCUAACAAUCUGAUCCCGAGAGCUCUGACUCUGUCAGAGCUAGGUAGUCACUAGGUAGCUAAUCACAACCAAAUAUUGAGAUCCAUAAGGCAGUAUUAGUAACACCAGCUUCAGUAACACUAAGAGCUAAUAAACUUUAGCUUGUAUUUCUCUACUAUUCUAGAACUUCUAUGACCAGCAGUGUUCAGUGUGCUUUGU